AUGGUCCCCUAUGGCUUCAAUAACCAGAACAAGCACUGCCUUCGGCGGCUGGGGAAACGGUACCACUUCCAGGUCCAGGACCUACGCCCAGAGGAUGCUGGCCUUUACCAGGUCAAGGUGGAGGACACUGUGGUCUUCUCCACAGAACUGGAGGCUGGUGCCAUCCCCCCCAGAGUUGUGGUUCCGCUGGCCGAGGCCCACUGUGAGGAGCAGGGAGAUGCAAUAUUUGAAUGUACUCUUUCCAAACCCUGCCCCAAUGCUACUUGGUAUUUCCAGCACCGGCCACUCAGGCUCAGUGACAAAUAUGAAGCAAUUGUGUCACCUGAUGGGCUAACCCAUCGGCUGCUGGUGAGGGGGGCCCACCUCUCAGACAGGGGCCUCUAUUCGCUGGGCACAGGGCUCCAUGCCUCCAGUGCCUGGCUGGUGGUUGAAGGUAAGUGUCACACCCUUGUCUUUCCACUGGCUUCCCAAGGCAAGGCCUCAGGGCUGAGGCAGUGGGGUUUCCCUGUGGUCAGUCAUUUGCUCUUUUUUUUUUUUUUUUUUGGUACUGGGGAUCGAACUUGGGUCCUUGCACUUAUGCAGCAGGUGGCGAAACCACUGAGCUAAAUCCCUGGCCCUGUCAUCUGUUUUUAAAUAAAUCCUUACUCAGAGAGAACAGGAGGGCUCCUAGCUCCAGACCUGAUCCACUUCAAUGCAGUCUGCGUAGCCAACCAGACCUUCCCAGGUACAUCUGGGCCACUGGGCCUCCUGGAGCUACUCUGGGGUCAUAGAUCCAAAUGGCCCAAGGGUUCUGAACAGGGCUUGGGACCAGAGAGCACCCUUGAACCUCCCUGGGGACUGGAAUCUGGGUUCAGUAUGAACCCAGGAAACUAUAAAUGUAAGGCUGGCAGUAGGGCAAGUGGACCUUUUAAAAACCAUGAAACUGCCGAUGGCAGUUUGGUAAGCAAAUGACUUUUGGCUUAUGCAGUUAUGGGUCAAGAUACUCAAGAAUCAGCUAGGUAUUGUGGCACACACCUGUAACCCCAGAUACCCUGGAGGCAGAGAUAAGAGGAUCUUAAAUUAGAGGUCAACCAGGACAAUUUAGUGAGACUCUUUGUCUCAAAAUUGAAAUAAGGGCUGAGGAUGGAGCUCAGUGAAAACAUCCUCUGAGUUCAAUCCCUAUACUGCAAAAUCCCCAAACAAACAAAAAACCCCACCAAAACUCAUGAACCAUGUAGCAGGUAGAGUGGGAUUGGGGGAAAUAAUGGUGGGAUGUAUCGACCAGUCCCCUGGAACAUCCUGGCUUCCUUCCUAGAUGGUCAGCUUGCUUCUCUACUGGGGAAACUGUGGGUCAGAUAAAGCAGUCCGGUCAGGCAGUUGCCUUGGCCUGAUUUAACAGGGUUCUGGUCUUUUUUCUUGUCUGUCUAUGGGGGCAUUGACCUCCACGUAAAUAACACCUCAUCGAAGCUGGGAAGGAGAAAGGCCUUCAGACCACAAGUGCUGACUGCCAGCUGCAGACACAAGGAGCUCAGGCCUCAGAUGCAGAAGACUCCGAGGGCAUCAGUGGCAAGGGAGG
rnacentral:lncRNA from 1 species